rnacentral:lncRNA from 1 species
CAUACAGUCAAAGAGAAGGAGAACAUUUCCUCUAAUGCAGCCAAUAUUAUUGAUGAAAGCUUGAAAAGUGGGAUGGAUAAUGUCUGGUUAGUCUUGACAAAUACCGAUUACUCUAAAGACUCGUGAGUUCUUGAUAUGAGAUAAUCUUAUUAGGACAGAAAAGAGUGUUUAGCCAUUGACAGAGAAACAAACUCAUAGACAAAGAGUGUUUAGCGAGAGAUAGACAGAGAGUGUUUAGCUAUUGACAGAGAGACGAAUAGAGAGAGGGUGGGUAUAGAAAGAGGGCAGGUAGAUUCUUCUUGUGCAUAUGUAUUAUGUGAUUUUUUGUUGAUGGAACACGAGAAGUUUUGUUAGUGGCAGCAAGUGAAAAC